AUACGUAGGGGGCGAGCGUUGUCCGGAAUGAUUGGGCGUAAAGGGCGCGUAGGCGGCCUGUUAAGUCUGGAGUGAAAGUCCUGUUUUCAAGAUGGGAAUUGCUUUGGAUACUGAUGGGCUUGAGUGCAGGAGAGGUUAUCGGAAUUCCCGGUGUAGCGGUGAAAUGCGUAGAGAUCGGGAGGAACACCAGUGGCGAAGGCGGGUAACUGGACUGCAACUGACGCUGAGGCGCGAAAGUGUGGGGAGCAAACAGGAUUAGAUACCCUGGUAGUCCACGCUGUAAACGAUGAUUACUAGGUGUAGGGGGUAUCGACUCCCUCUGUGCCGCAGUUAACGCAGUAAGUAAUCCACCUGGGGAGUACGGUCGCAAGAUUAAAACUCAAAUGAAUUGACGGGG
rnacentral:rRNA from 1 species